UACGUAGGGAGCAAGCGUUGUCCGGAAUCAUUGGGCGUAAAGCGCGCGUAGGUGGCCUCGUAAGUCCGCUGUGAAAGUCAAAGGCUCAACCUUUGAAAGCCGGUGGAAACUGUCUGGCUAGAGUCCGGAAGGGGCGAGUGGAAUUCCUGGUGUAGCGGUGAAAUGCGCAGAUAUCAGGAGGAACACCAAUGGCGAAGGCGGCAUCCUGGACCGAUAUUGACGCUGAUGCGCGAAAGCCAGGGGAGCAAACGGG
rnacentral:rRNA from 1 species